UGUCGUCUCAGGACGACCAGCCAAUGCCUCAGUAGCUUGAGAGAGGUGCCUUCGGGUAGCUACCAGCCAAUGUUUCACUGACCUGAGAGAAACGCCUUCGGGUGGUCAAAAAAGCCCUCGUAGCCCGAAAGAGGACGCCUGGAAAGUGCCAGGUGGUACACC
rnacentral:sRNA from 1 species